AUGGCUUCGUCUGCGCCUAUUGAUCCUCUCACCGGAAAGAUCCGGCGAAGGCUUUAACCGCCGUAGCAUCGGGUUUUUUCGAGAAUGUGAAGAAAAAAAGCAAAGCUUCUUCCAGUUCGCCGCGAUGACUGGGAUCUUGCUUCUGAGCUUCCGAUCUGUAAGUCAGAAGUAUCGAAUUCACGAUCUGGAGGAAGACACGACUGUUCUCAAGAAGGAGAGCGAUAGUUUGACUGAUCGUAUGAAUAGAAUCAAGAGCGAUCUUCUGCAUCAAGCGUCCAUUGACUCUUCCGGCGUCUUUGCUGCUCGACUCCGUCUACUUUUCGGUGACGAUAAAAAGUGACGGGGGAUUGAAUUUUGUCUGAAGUCAACGAGAUUUACGAUCAUGCGAUGUUGUAUUAAUUCUAUACAGAUGUCUCUGUCUGUAAACGAUGUGUCUUUGUCAGGAAUUUAGCGAAUGAAUAAGUAAGGUUGCAAGGUGUUGUGAUUUAGACAAUGGAGUAUCGUUUUAGUUUUGUCUGAAAUCGUGCUUCGAUGUUUUAUGUUUUUGAACGGUUAGGCUUUGCAGAUUUGUAUGAGGAAUUUCAUCGAACACUUUAACUGCGUUUUUACACUA